UUCUUCUUUGAUACGAAUGCCUUCUAUUCACUGCACCAUUUAGACCAAUGAAUGAAGUGGAGGGGAAAAGAAUGCUAGAGUAAAAAAGCGAAAAACUUCCUCAUACUGAGUUUACUUAAUUAAUAUAUUUAUAGCAUUCUUGGAUUCUGGUUUUUCGAGACAUAU
rnacentral:snoRNA from 1 species